GUGGGGAAUCUUGCACAAUGGGCGAAAGCCUGAUGUAGCCAUGCCGCGUGAAUGAUGAAGGCCUUAGGGUUGUAAAAUUCUUUCGUCAGGGAUGAUAAUGACCGUACCUGAAGAAGAAGCCCCGGCUAACUUCGUGCCAGCAGCCGCGGUAAUACGAAGGGGGCUAGCGUUGUUCGGAAUUACUGGGCGUAAAGCGCACGUAGGCGGACUUUUAAGUCAGGUGUGAAAUCCCGGGGCUCAACCUCGGAACUGCAUUUGAAACUGGAAGUCUUGAGAUCAGGAGAGGUUAGCGGAAUACCGAGUGUAGAGGUGAAAUUCGUAGAUAUUCGGUGGAACACCAGUGGCGAAGGCGGCUAACUGGACUGAUACUGACGCUGAGGUGCGAAAGUGUGGGGAGCAAACAGGAUUAGAUACCCUUGUAGUCC
rnacentral:rRNA from 1 species